rnacentral:rRNA from 1 species
UGGUGGAGUGAUUUGUCUGGUUAAUUCCGAUAACGAACGAGACCUUAACCUGCUAAAUAGCCAGGCCGGCUUCGGCUGGUCGCCGGCUUCUUAGAGGGACUAUCAGCGUCUAGCUGAUGGAAGCUUGAGGCAAUAACA